rnacentral:piRNA from 1 species
UGGAGAACACUGGAGCUGCCCACAAA